UACGGAGGGUGCAAGCGUUAUCCGGAUUCACUGGGUUUAAAGGGUGUGUAGGCGGGCAGUUAAGUCAGUGGUGAAAUCUCCGGGCUCAACCCGGAAACUGCCAUUGAUACUAUCUGUCUUGAAUAUUGUUGAGGUAGGCGGAAUAUAUCAUGUAGCGGUGAAAUGCAUAGAUAUGAUAUAGAACACCGAUUGCGAAGGCAGCUUACUAAACAAUUAUUGACACUGAGGCACGAAAGCGUGGGGAUCAAACAGG
rnacentral:rRNA from 1 species